rnacentral:rRNA from 1 species
ACGUAGGGUGCGAGCGUUGUCCGGAAUUACUGGGCGUAAAGAGCUCGUAGGUGGUUUGUCGCGUCGUUUGUGGAAUGCCGCAGCUUAACUGCGGGGUUGCAGGCGAUACGGGCAUAACUUGAGUGCUGUAGGGGAGACUGGAAUUCCUGGUGUAGCGGUGGAAUGCACAGAUAUCAGGAGGAACACCGAUGGCGAAGGCAGGUCUCUGGGCAGUAACUGACGCUGAGGAGCGAAAGCAUGGGGAGCGAACAG